rnacentral:rRNA from 1 species
CUGGCGGCGUGCUUAACACAUGCAAGUCGAACGAAGCACUUUUACAGAUUUCUUCGGAAUGAAGUUUUAGUGACUGAGUGGCGGACGGGUGAGUAACGCGUGGGUAACCUGCCUCACACAGGGGGAUAACAGUUGGAAACGGCUGCUAAUACCGCAUAAGCGCACAGUACCGCAUGGUACAGUGUGAAAAACUCCGGUGGUGUGAGAUGGACCCGCGUCUGAUUAGCUAGUUGGCAGGGCAACGGCCUACCAAGGCGACGAUCAGUAGCCGACCUGAGAGGGGGACCGGCCACAUUGGGACUGAGACACGGCCCAAACUCCUACGGGAGGCAGCAGUGGGGAAUAUUGCACAAUGGGGGAAACCCUGAUGCAGCGACGCCGCGUGAGCGAAGAAGUAUUUCGGUAUGUAAAGCUCUAUCAGCAGGGAAGAAGAAAUGACGGUACCUGACUAAGAAGCACCGGCUAAAUACGUGCCAGCAGCCGCGGUAAUACGUAUGGUGCAAGCGUUAUCCGGAUUUACUGGGUGUAAAGGGAGCGCAGGCGGAAGGCUAAGUCUGAUGUGAAAGCCCGGGGCUCAACCCCGGUACUGCAUUGGAAACUGGUCAUCUAGAGUGUCGGAGGGGUAAGUGGAAUUCCUAGUGUAGCGGUGAAAUGCGUAGAUAUUAGGAGGAACACCAGUGG